GACUAGGAUGAAGGGAAUGGAAGCUAACACACCGUGGAAGCUGCCUUGUGCUCAGGAAUGCCCUUCAAAUUCACUGUCAAGGUAGAGUGGUAUAUUUAGUGAGACCAUUUUACUGCAAGAGCAGAGGUGUUUCUUUCUCACUCCCUUCUCAGAGGGGUUCAUGAAGCCAAUGAGAUAACGUUUAAUGAGAGUUGGAGCCUGGCACUGUCUAUAUGUUAUCUCGCUAGCCAUGCUUUAAGGGAAAGGCUCAGGCAUCACAGGGUGAGUCCCUUGCUGCCCAGGCAUGUUUCUAGGGCACAGACCCAGGUGAUUCUGUUUGGGCUCCCAAACUUGGGUCUGCUCAGGUGGGUAUUCUAUGUCCCAAGGCAGAGAAUGGGGCCUAACUCUGAUGCCCACAUGCCAGCCCUGGGGGAUAUUAAUGGGAAGAGACAAGGGAGUAUUUUCUUCCCUAGAGCCCAAGAGCUCAUUGCCCACCCUGCAGAGGUGGGCAACUGGGGUGAGCUGAAGAGAUACCUGGCAACCACACUGGAAAGCUAGGGCUCCAGUGGAGUCAUCUUGGAGUUCUUUUGACUUCCUCCGACUCUACCUCCUGCUGCCAACCCCAUUAAUCACCUUCCCUGCCAAACUCUGGAAUGUGGCAGUCAAUUAAAAGUCAGCCCUCGGUUAAACAAACAAACCAACCUGGA
rnacentral:lncRNA from 1 species